AGGGAAAAUAUCUUAUUUAUAGUUGCAGUGUCAGAUUCUGCUGCAGUUCAUGCUGACAUGAUGGUUCUGCUGGGGAUGAAUUUGUGCUGGUCAUACUGGUGUCUUUCUGUUACUUACUGGUAUGUUUUUACUCCUUUAAAAAUGCUUUGUAUCUAUUUAUCUUGUUUGGGUCUGAAACCUUUUGAUAACAUAUAAGCAUUUAUUGUCAUUUAUAUUACGUCUAUGGUAGUUGCAUUUUCAGGCUCCUUUGUAAGAUGGCUUACAGAGGAUGAGGGAAGUGCUGUAGCAUGGUACAUGGGUGUUUUAAAUCCAGUUCUAAUAUAGUGCUGGAAGACAAAAGAUGAGAGUGUGAAUUAGUUCUACAAUGUGGGUUUGUCACAUGGAUCGCUCUGAUCUCAGCUGAACAUAUACCUAGGCUGUAAAUGCACCUUGCCAGUGAAGCAGCUUCUGUCUUCUUCAUAAUUGUUAUAUUAGCAGUUUUGUUUUCUUCUAAGGUGUAACAUGCCUUUAAAUGAAUCACUAAGG